UUGCUUUUAACACAUUAUAUAUGAAAUAUAACCCCAGCUAGUUCCUUCAAACUGACAUCACACACUAUCUUCACAAAUGCACACUUAGACAGCGUGACGAAGCAAGCUGCAUGAAACAGUGUGCUUGACUAUAUAUUAUUUAAUGGGAUUUUAUGGGCUGCACACUGAGGCACAAACACACACACACACACGAACAAAUAAAAGGGUUUACGUGGAGUGGUUGAUGGCGAGUGAACAGGCCAGAAGAGAUGGAAGAAGCACACCGGGGGGAAUGAUGAGAGGAAAUGAUGCGCAUGAUGAGUGCUGAAUGGUUGGCCAGUGGGACAGACCCUGUCAGACUGUCUGCUAAAGGGGUGGAAGACACAGAGAGAGAGAGAUGGCUGCAGAGAGGACAAGAAGGAGAGACAGAGAGAGCACAAAACAGCAGGAGCAAAAUGAUGAUCAGUGUCAAAAUUCUAUUACUCUGUGACAACCAACCAAGGUUUCCCCUGUCUCGUUCACGAGCACAGUGACUGUGCUCCAUCUCUGUCGCGCGGCUACAGCAGACCGCCGGGCGAUUACUAACUCGGAGGUUUCGCACAUAGAAAAGCAGGCCAUGAAUUUUAGAAGCUGCUUCAGUCACAAGACGACAGCCCAUCAUGAAGCAAGAAACCAGUGGCCUUUAUUUUCCCUGCCAUGGUCCUUGACAUCGUCUGAAUGGCAGUGAAGAAGAAAUCUACCAAGACAACAGAGGCAGGCAGACAGGGCGAGGGGAGAGGAGCGAAGAAGAGAGGCAGAAAAAAGAAGACAGACAGACAUGAUCUGGGGACAGAAUAAAGGAGAAAGGCCGCAUCACCGUCAAUAAGAAAAAGACUCCAACAACCACCUUGUGUCAAUGUCAAGUCUGUAAAAAACACACCGCAUGAAAGCCAGAGAGAGUUCUUAAACCACACGCAGGAGCAAAGGGUGGACCGGACUGAGAACACUGUCACUCACGAGGUAGCCAUGUCCACAAGCACAUUCUGUUUGCUGUCUAUUUAACUCCAACUCUCUCUCUCUGUUAAACAGAGCCAGAGACCAUAAAAUCAUCAGUUUUCCCCCCUUGGGUCUCAAACAAGUAAGGAGGAAGUUUGUUUUCUCAUAGACUUCAGGGGUAGCUGUAGCUCAGGAGGUAGGGCACCAGUCAGAAGGCCUGUGGUCCGAUCCUUGGCUCCUCCAGCGUACAAGCUCAGGCGCAUCUUUGAGCUAGGAUGUUAAACUCAGUGUUUUCCCUGAAGCAUCCACUGGAUUAUGAGCGUGAGUGUGUGUGUGAAUGUUAGGCAAGGUGCUUAGGCGCAGAAAAAAAGCUCUUGUAUAAAUGUGUGUGAUUGGGUGAAUGCGACUAACAUUAAAAAGCACUUUGAAUUCUCAGUUAGAGUACAAAAGUACUAUACAAGUACAAGUACAUUUGUAGAAUCUUUAGACUUCCUUUUGCAACCAGAGGCUGGACCUCCUGACAGCAACCUCAGACAGUGCAGCUUUGUCUGUGUUAACAUGAAUGCUCACACUAGCACCCUGACAAUUAACCAAAACUGUACCCAAACAUAGUGGACAUAAUGACAUAAAAACAAUUUUAGGACCAUAAUUUGUACUUUUGAGAGCAGCACGUACAAAACAGGACCGAUCUGUUUUGUUUUUUCCAAACAAACGACACUGUUUAAUGAUUUAACAACGUCGUCAAUUCUCAAACUCGGCUCAAACGAAGACUUAUAGCUGUGCUUGGAUGUUUUCUGUUGAUUUUUGCGCUUUGCACCAGCAGCGCCCGGUGCAUGUAGCAUCCCAGCUGUUGUAAAAGCAAAACCAGAUAUAGCCAGCUGGGUUCACAAUUUAUCAGGUUACAGUAUAAUGUCAUUAUAUCACAAGUUAGUGGGAGCAGCUGGAGAGGCGGCAUCAGGAAAAAGGGAAGAGAGAGAGAUUGCCUAACGCUGAUGCAUUGUUGAGUCAGGGCUUUGAUUAGGUGUGCUCUCAUCCUGGAAGUAGAUUGCAGCAUCAUUUUGUAAAAUUCAUUCACUUGUUCCAAGUCCCUUGACACAAGCUGCUAGCAACUAUCAAGCGUAACCCACAAGAAUCAAACUAUGCAAGAUUAAGAUUCAUAUUAAGAAACAAGUUGUAGAGUAAUAAAAAUAUUAAUAAUAACGACAUUAUUAUUAUUUUUAUUAUUAGAUGAAGAAAAAUAAUAAAUAAAAAGACAACAAAAACAAAGCAAAGCUAUUCUACAAGUGUCUGUCUGCAUGAUUGACUCUAGGAAAGUAUCCGUGUGUGUCGACUAUAUAUUUUUAUCACAGUGAGUGCUGUGGUAAUAUUGCAGAGCUGCGAUGAGCACCAUCAGCCCUCUGUGGCACAUCGGGGACAGCUGGAUGUUGUCAGGCAGCUAUAAUGCUGAUGAAAACGGGCUGAUUGCAGCUCGCGGGCUCCUCCCACUUAUAAAUCAGCUUCACAGCACUCAGGGGUGGAAUAGAGCAGCGACAAGCCGUGUCACACCUAGUGUACCGCAUAGGUACUCUGCAGCAAACUGUAUGUCCAUAUAUCUGUCGUGCUGUGCUAGUGAUACAGGAAUAUUAGCCAAAAUGUAACAUUUAGAAUCAUGACCAUCACCUGCUUUUCUCACACAGUGUGCAUCACUGUCAUAAUAAAAUCAGUCACAUGCAUGCUUGUUAUAUUUUUGCUUUUUUGCAGCCUUUUAAAAAUCAAAAGAAUGACAAGUUGAUACUGAAGGCUUUAACGCAUUAAGACAAAAACGGUCUUAUAUCGUGUUACUCAGUGACAACGUUCAGUGAUGUUCGGCCUUUUCUCUCGGCGGUGUUGAACGUGAGCUGAGAGGGAUUUACACCACCCACAUGGGCCGCACCACCGUCACACACAUUUGAAAUUAGAAAGCAUAGUUGUGGCAUGCAGCUCCAAAAGCAGUAUCAUUCUAAUUAGUGAGCUUUGGCUCCGCUUCAGAAACAAAUUGAGAUGUAAAAGGUCUCAACAUAUUUUUUUUUCUCAUAAUGGCGUUGGACUUGAUUGACGUCAGCACCUUUGAGAAUGUAAAUUCACAAAUAUGACAUUGCUCAGGUGUACGACGCCUGUUAUCUAAUGUACCUCGAAUCAUUUUUGCAGUCAGCGGUAUAAAAAGAUGUUUAAAUGUGCAUCAGUGAAGUUUUAUAAACCCUCAGCGGAAUGAUGCAUGCAGCGUGAGCAAAUUAACCUGAACUAUUUAUCAUUCACUGGCAGGUAGCACACACAGUAAAAAGGGCUUGUAUUCGAAUUCAUUCGUUAUCUCAUUUUCAGCGGUGUUACAGAAAAAAAUAUAAUUAAAAACAACAUAAUCUAUCAUUCACUAUUGACCUUUUAACAAAGUCUACUUGAAUUAAUUGUGCUGAGAAAUUACCAGAUGCCCAAAGGGCGAGCACACACAACAAUGAAAAAAAAAUAUUGUUUUGAACUGUCAAGUAGAACUGGCACCUUGCCUUGUUUGAGGCCUCAGAGAGGGUAUUUUUUUCAUUAGCACAGCUGAAACCAUAAUAUGAUACCUUUUUUGUGGCCAUUAUCCAAGCCGAGCUUUGAUGACAUUCAUUUCCACUACAGCAGCAGGGCAGAUAAGGUUUUUGGUGGCAGAGCACCAAAACAACAGUCUCUUCCUCCUCCUCCUCCUCUAACCCGAGCAUCUCUCAAACCCAAGAGAAACUAAAACAACUUGAAAAGUCAUUGAGCUCUCACUAGUUUUUUAACAUCUACCAUUUUUUUGUGGUUUGAACUUUUGUGUCGCUGCUGACUUGCUGAACACUUUAAAAACCUUCCCACUAGAGAUCCAGCGGAUUGCUAACUGCUAACAGCUUUUCCCACAGUGACACCGAUCCCAGUGUUGUUGGGGCAGAUAACAAACAAACAUUGUCCAAAUGUCUCAAAACAGUGCACACUAAUUGGCCACUUCAUUAGGCACACUUGAAAGAGUUGCCAACUGCUCUUUAGGAGAAAUAUCUAAUUAGCCAAUCACAUGGCAGUAAUUCAUGCAUUUAAACACAUAGAUACGGCCAAGAAAACCUGCUGAAGUUCAAAGUGAGCAUCACAAUGAGGAAGAAAGGUGAAUUAAGUGGCAGUAAACCUUGCCGUUGUUGUUAGUGUGAGUGUGUCAGAAUCUGCUGCUCUGCUGAGGUUUUCCUACAAAACCAUCUCUGGGGUUUAUAAAAAACUGUCUGAAAAGAGAAAAUAUCCAGUGAGCAGCAGUUCUCUGGGUCUGGAUGCCUUGUUGAUGUCAGACGUCAGAGGAAAGUGGCCAUACUGCUUUGGGCUGAUAGGAAGGAAACCUGAACACACCACACAUGUAACCUUGAAGCAGAUGGGCUACAGCAGCAGAACACUUGUGUCAGCAAAGAACAGGAAACCAAGGCUUCAGUUCACAAAACAUGAGCACAUUACAACUGCGCUCGGCUCUUCAUAAUGGUUGCCUGUCCAUUUCAUUGUUGUUCUUGAAGUUUUAUUGUUUGCUUUUCAACAUUUGAGGUCUUCAAAUCACAUUUAAAAAUACACAUUUUCUCCAUGACAAUUAGCUUCUAGUCAGUUUGAGUCAAUAUUUGGACAC